rnacentral:rRNA from 1 species
UACGAAGGGGGCUAGCGUUGUUCGGAUUUACUGGGCGUAAAGCGCACGUAGGCGGAUCGUUAAGUCGGGGGUGAAAUCCUGGAGCUCAACUCCAGAACUGCCUUCGAUACUGGCGAUCUCGAGUCCGGAAGAGGUGAGUGGAACUCCUAGUGUAGAGGUGGAAUUCGUAGAUAUUAGGAAGAACACCAGUGGCGAAGGCGGCUCACUGGUCCGGUUCUGACGCUGAGGCGCGAAAGCGUGGGGAGCAAACAGG